AUUGAACGCUGGCGGCAGGCCUAACACACGCAAGUCGAGCGGCAGCGGGAAAGUAGCUUGCUACUUUUGCCGGCGAGCGGCGGACGGGUGAGUAGUGCCUGGGGAUCUGCCCAGUCGAGGGGGAUAACUACUGGAAACGGUAGCUAAUACCGCAUACGCCCUACGGGGGAAAGCAGGGGACCUUCGGGCCUUGCGCGAUUGGACGAACCCAGGUGGGAUUAGCUAGUUGGUGAGGUAAUGGCUCACCAAGGCGACGAUCCCUAGCUGGUCUGAGAGGAUGAUCAGCCACACUGGAACUGAGACACGGUCCAGACUCCUACGGGAGGCAGCAGUGGGGAAUAUUGCACAAUGGGGGAAACCCUGAUGCAGCCAUGCCGCGUGUGUGAAGAAGGCCUUCGGGUUGUAAAGCACUUUCAGCGAGGAGGAAAGGUUGGUAGCUAAUAACUGCCAGCUGUGACGUUACUCGCAGAAGAAGCACCGGCUAACUCCGUGCCAGCCGCCGCAGUAAGAC
rnacentral:rRNA from 1 species